AAUGACCGGGACAAAGGUUCGCGAUCCCGCGAGGGUGAGCUAACCCCAAAAACCCGUCCUCAGUUCGGAUUGCAGGCUACAACUCGCCUGCAUGAAG
rnacentral:rRNA from 1 species